UACCAGCACCCCGAGUGGUCGGGACGUUUAUUGGGCCUAAAGCAUCCGUAGCCGGUUCUACAAGUCUUCCGUUAAAUCCAACUGCUUAACAGGUGGGCUGCGGAAGAUACUAUAGAGCUAGGAGGCGGGAGAGGCAAGCGGUACUCGAUGGGUAGGGGUAAAAUCCGUUGAUCCAUUGAAGACCACCAGUGGCGAAGGCGGCUUGCCAGAACGCGCCCGACGGUGAGGGAUGAAAGCUGGGGGAGCAAACCGG
rnacentral:rRNA from 1 species